rnacentral:rRNA from 1 species
CAGUAGCCACGGUAAUACGGAGGAUCCAAGCGUUAUCCGGAAUCAUUGGGUUUAAAGGGUCCGUAGGCGGUUUAGUAAGUCAGUGGUGAAAGCCCAUCGCUCAACGGUGGAACGGCCAUUGAUACUGCUGAACUUGAAUUAUUAGGAAGUAACUAGAAUAUGUAGUGUAGCGGUGAAAUGCUUAGAGAUUACAUGGAAUACCAAUUGCGAAGGCAGGUUACUACUAAUUGAUUGACGCUGAUGGACGAAAGCGUGGGGAGCGAACAUGAUUAGAUACCCCUGUAGUCCCUGUCUCUUAUAC